ensembl:snoRNA
UGUAAUAGUGAUGGUUGCACGCUGGUUACAGUAUUAAGGGAGGCAGGCAGUGUUCAGUACCUCCCUGAUGAAAAAAGUGCACAGGGACCACUGCCA